rnacentral:tmRNA from 1 species
CCCCUUGCAAGCCGCGGCACAGCCCCUUAUCUUGGGGGUGUUCUUCGGAACUAUGGUGAUAAACGCGCUCGUAAUAAGCGGACUGGACCCGGGGGCGGUACCCGGCGGCUCCACCAAUACCCUUGCAGCAGGGAUCAUGGGGCCGAAACAGGAUCGACAGACGUCUAAAGGGGUUAUGCUUUCACCCGGUGAGAUACCACCGUUAUCGGUUCAAAACUUACAGUAGCCAAUACCAACGCUGCUCCCCGUGCUCUCGCCGCGUAAGCGGUAGCGAGACGGGAAACCUAAAGCCCCUGUGUGUAGCAACGCAGGGCGGGGCUCGGAGGCGCCUGGCAACAGAAGCCUCCACC